rnacentral:rRNA from 1 species
CCUUAAGGUGGGCACUCUAAGGAGACUGCCGGUGACAAACCGGAGGAAGGUGGGGAUGACGUCAAGUCAUCAUGGCCCUUACGGCCAGGGCUACACCCGUGCUACAAUGGUCGGUACAAAGGGUUGCUACACAGCGAGGUGGUGCUAAUCUCAAAAAGCCGAUCGUAGUCCGGAUUGGAGUCUGCAACUCGCUCCAUGAAGUCGGAAUCGCU